rnacentral:tRNA from 1 species
AGGUGGCUCAGUGGUGGAGCACUUGCCUUGAAGGCACGAGGCCCUGGGUUCCAUCCCCAGGACCUG